AUUUAAAUAGUUUAUAAAAAACGUUGGUCUGUGGAUCCAAAGAUAUAAUUUUGAGAUUAUUUUAAAUC
rnacentral:tRNA from 1 species